UGCUGGCAUUACAGCCAUGAGCCACUGCGCCCGGCCAUGCAUCCUUCUUUACUGUACUGGAACUGACCUCUCUUUUUUUAUUUGGCUUUUGCUUGUUUGUUUUAUUUAGAGACAGAGUCUUGCUCUGUCAC